rnacentral:rRNA from 1 species
AGUGAACGCUGGCGGUAGGCCUAACACAUGCAAGUCGAACGGCAGCACAGUAAGAGCUUGCUCUUACGGGUGGCGAGUGGCGGACGGGUGGGGAAUACAUCGGAAUCAACUUUUCCGGGGGGGAAAGCGAAGGGAAACUUACGCUAAAACGGCUAACGCCCUACGGGUGAAAGAAGGGGAUUUUCGGACCUUGCGCGAUUGAAUGAGCCGAUGUCGGAUUAGCUAGUUGGCGGGGUAAAGGCCCACCAAGGCGACGAUCCGUAGCUGGUCUGAGAGGAUGAUCAGCCACACUGGAACUGAGACACGGUCCAGACUCCUACGGGAGGCAGCAGUGGGGAAUAUUGGACAAUGGGCGCAAGCCUGAUCCAGCCAUACCGCGUGGGUGAAGAAGGCCUUCGGGUUGUAAAGCCCUUUUGUUGGGAAAGAAAAGCAGCAGGUUAAUACCCCGCUGUUCUGACGGUACCCAAAGAAUAAGCACCGGCUAACUUCGUG